GGCGGUGCGCCUUAUGCAUGCAAGUCGAGCGAAGCUUUUCAGUAGUUUACUACAGAAAAUGACUGAGCGGCGAACGGGUGAGUAACGCGUGAGCAAUCUACCUUAGUUACAGGGAUAGCCCGAGGAAACUCGGAUUAAUACCUGAUAUUCUUUAUUUCUCGCAUGAGAAUAAAAGGAAAGGUCAGCCGAACUAAGAUGAGCUCGCGUUCUAUCAGCUAGUUGGUGAGGUAAAAGCUUACCAAGGCUACGACGGAUAGCUGGUCUGAGAGGACGAUCAGCCACACUGGGACUGAGACACGGCCCAGACUCCUACGGGAGGCUGCAGCAGGGAAUAUUGUGCAAUGAACGAAAGUUUGACACAGCGACACCGCGUGUGGGAUGACGGAUCUAGGUUUGUAAACCACUUUCAGGAGGGAAGAAAAUGACGGUACCUCCACAAGAAGCCCCGGCCAACUACGUGCCAGCAGCCGCGGUAAUACGUAGGGGGCGAGCGUUGUCCGGAUUUAUUGGGCGUAAAGAGCUCGUAGGCGGUUCAACAAGUCGGUCGUGAAAGUUCAGGGCUCAACCCUGAAAUGUCGAUCGAUACUGUUGUGACUAGGAUACGGUAGAGGUGAGUGGAAUUCCGAGUGUAGCGGUGAAAUGCGUAGAUAUUCGGAGGAACACCAAUUGCGAAGGCAGCUCACUGGACCGCUAUCGACGCUGAGGAGCGAAAGCUAGGGGAGCAAACAGGAUUAGAUACCCUGGUAGUCCUAGCUGUAAACGAUGGAUACUAGACGUAGGAACUGGAUUGACGGUUUCUGUGUCGUAGCUAACGCGUUAAGUAUCCCGCCUGGGGAGUACGGUCGCAAGACUAAAACUCAAAGGAAUUGACGGGACCCCGCACAAGCGGCGGAGCAUGCGGCUUAAUUCGAUGAUACCCGUAGAACCUUACCUGGACUUGACA
rnacentral:rRNA from 1 species